GACACAAUCGUCUUUCUCCCUCAACAGUGGCUGUUCAUCCAAGCGUAACUUCAUCGUUGACAUCCACGAGAGGUAGAUUUUUUUUGUGCCCAGAAGAUUGUGACUUUGAUGAAAAUUCGUAAAUGGAAAAGGCAGCUGCCCCUGCGGCUUGGAACCCUCAAUUCGGAGGUAUUAUGCCCUGAAUUUUUACAAAAGAAGAAUUGGAAUUACCCUAUAGAAGGCAAAACAAAAAAAUAUAAGAGGAAAAAAGGAGAAAAUUUAUCUAAUUUCCCUUUUUUUAGUUGUAGUUUUUUUUUUCUCGGUCAUUUUGUAUUGCUCAUUGGGGGCAGGAUGCAGGGUCGAUCUAGUUGCUUUACAUUGAUGUAGUUCCAAUAUGUAAAGAUGGAGGUUAUAUAUAUAUAUAUAUAUAUAUAUGUACAUGAUAUAGAGUCAAUUUCAGACCUUGUUAAUGGUAUUAGCCUGUUAGGCUUGUGGGAGAUUCAUUUUGUUUUCUUUCAUUUUCUAUAAAUGAUUCUGAUUAUUUACAA